CGUGUAGGCGGUUGGUCAAGUCGGGUGUGAAAGCCUAGGGGCUCAGCCCAGGAAGUGCAUCCGAAACUAGCCAGCUAGAGCGCGAUAGAGGAGGGUGGAAUUCCUGGUGUAGCGGUGAAAUGCGUAGAUAUCAGGAGGAACACCGGCGGCGAAGGCGGCCCUCUGGAUCGUUGCUGACGCUGAGACGCGAAAGCGUGGGGAGCAAACAGGAUUAGAUACCCUGGUAGUCCACGCCUUAAACGAUGGGUACUAGGUGUUCGGGGUGUUGACCCCCUGAGUGCCGCAGUUAACGCAUUAAGUACCCCGCCUGGGGACUACGGCCGCAAGGUUAAA
rnacentral:rRNA from 1 species